rnacentral:rRNA from 1 species
AUGGUGAGGCCGUUUGAGGAUGACUACCUGUGUCCUGCUUGGUUUGCACCUGGAGGGGUCAGGGCAACACAUUCCAAGGAUGGAUCGACCAAAAGGUCAUCCAAGGAUAGAUCGUGCUCUCCUUUUUAUAUUCCAGGCCUCCGCACAGCCGAUGUUGCUGUUGUGGAAGAGUAUCUCCGUUCUGUUAACAUCAUGCCUGUGUUUUUAGACAUCAAGAUGCCAAGGAAGUCUGUGUUUACUCUGCGUGAAACCUUUUACGUUCUUUAUGGGGGAACACCUGUGAAGGAACUCUCUGAGCUCGUAUGUUAUCGCUUAAAUCUCGAGGAAGGUCGCCCCAUGCAGUUCCUCAUGAAUGGUGAUCUACUCGCUGAGGCGACCACUGUGUCUGCAAUCUAUGAGAAACAUCUUUUGUCUGAUAACCUUGCUACCUUGCAGUGUUACAUUGACAAGAAGAAGUUUGUUCCAAGAAGCUUCAAUGUCGACAAGUCAGUUAAAGUUCCCAUCGUUGAGCCAGUUUAUGUCAAUGAAGAGUACAUCCCGUUUCCUCCCUUCCGCAUCCGCAACAUCAGGGAUGCAAAGAAGGCAGCGGCUGAUGCCAGGAGUGGCUCCUACGGCAAUGCCACCAUCUCUCAUGGAUCGUACAGCGAGGAGGGUCAUCUGCAGUUCUAUUAG